rnacentral:rRNA from 1 species
UGGGGAAUAUUGCACAAUGGGCGCAAGCCUGAUGCAGCCAUGCCGCGUGUGUGAAGAAGGCCUUCGGGUUGUAAAGCACUUUCAGCGGGGAGGAAGGCGGUGAGGUUAAUAACCUCAUCGAUUGACGUUACCCGCAGAAGAAGCACCGGCUAACUCCGUGCCAGCAGCCGCGGUAAUACGGAGGGUGCAAGCGUUAAUCGGAAUUACUGGGCGUAAAGCGCAUGCAGGCGGUCUGUCAAGUCGGAUGUGAAAUCCCCGGGCUCAACCUGGGGACUGCAUUCGAAACUGGCAGGCUAGAGUCUUGUAGAGGGGGGUAGAAUUCCAGGUGUAGCGGUGAAAUGCGUAGAGAUCUGGAGGAAUACCGGUGGCGAAUGCGGCCCCCUGGACAAAGACUGACGCUCAGGUGCGAAAGCGUGGGGAGCAAACAGG